rnacentral:rRNA from 1 species
AACGCGAAGAACCUUACCUACUCUUGACAUCCAGAGAAGCCUGCAGAGAUGCAGGUGUGCCUUCGGGAACUCUGAGACAGGUGCUGCAUGGCUGUCGUCAGCUCGUGUUGUGAAAUGUUGGGUUAAGUCCCGCAACGAGCGCAACCCUUAUCCUUGUUUGCCAGCACGUAAUGGUGGGAACUCCAGGGAGACUGCCGGUGAUAAACCGGAGGAAGGUGGGGACGACGUCAAGUCAUCAUGGCCCUUACGAGUAGGGCUACACACGUGCUACAAUGGUGCAUACAGAGGGAAGCAAGAGCGCGAGCUGGAGCGGAUCCCAAAAAGUGCAUCGUAGUCCGGAUUGGAGUCUGCAACUCGACUCCAUGAAGUCGGAAUCGCUAGUAAUCGUGGAUCAGAAUGCCACGGUGAAUACGUUCCCGGGUCUUGUACACACCG